rnacentral:rRNA from 1 species
GACGAACGCUGGCGGCGUGCUUAACACAUGCAAGUCGAACGAAGUGGCGAACGGGUGAGUAACGCGUAAUCAACCUGCCCUUCAGAGGGGGACAACAGUUGGAAACGACUGCUAAUACCGCAUACUGAAGGAGGGGAUUGCGUCUGAUUAGCUAGUUGGAGGGGUAACGGCCCACCAAGGCGAUGAUCAGUAGCCGGUGCGGUGGGAUUGAACGCCAACAUGGGAAUGGGGCACGGCCCAGGCUCCUACGGGAGGCAGCAGUGGGGAAUCUUCCGGAAUGGACGAAAGUCUGACGGGGCAACGCCGGGGGAGUGAUUACGGCCUUCGGGUUGUAAAGCUCUGGUAAUCGGGGCGCGGUACCGGAAUUGAAAGCCAACGCUAACUACGUUCCAGCAGCCGCGGGAAUUC